rnacentral:sRNA from 1 species
CGCUGCGCGCCAUUAGUAUUAUUUGUAUUAUUUGUUGAGGGCGAGCAGCAAAUUCUCAAAUGGCAACGGAUUCAAUUGGCAAUGCUGUGGCAAUCAUUCAAGAAUUCUUCUGAUGACAAGAUAAAUUAUCGGUAUCAAUAGUUAGCAAGGGUUGGCAAGUGAAUGUAAACUCCGUAUUAGUUAUUUGAAUUAUUUACAAAAUACCAUGCGAGGUACGCAAAGCUUGCAAGUACAUUCAAUGCAGCAGGACCCCCAACUAGGCAGCCAUCCUCUACCCGGAUGGAAGGUAUGGUCGGACUGAAAAUUUUAGUAAGCAAGAAGCUAGCCCGAAACGAGCAGAAUGAAAAGAGUACAGGAGGCCGGAAACACUCCCAAAUGGCUAUACAACCCAUGAGUUUAUGCGGCCUUUCUGAGAUGGCGGAACCAAAAGCGAAACGUGCUCGGCCGUCUACUCCUCAUUCUAGUUUUAAAAAUCUCUGCUCUCUACACAGAAACAUUAAAAUCGGUGCCUGAAACUUUUAUUCAGUUUCGUCCGAAAGUAAAUCAUCUGCGAUUGGCGACUCAAGUCGGCAGAUACUGUGCAAGGCGAAGCAAACCUAAUAAUAAUAAUAAUAAAUAAUAUA